rnacentral:rRNA from 1 species
UACGUAGGUGGCAAGCGUUGUCCGGAUUUAUUGGGUUUAAAGGGUGCGUAGGCGGUUCUCUAAGUCAGUUGUGAAAUACGGCAGCUUAACUGUCGAGGUGCAAUUGAUACUGGAGGACUUGAGUACUGAUGAGGUAGGCGGAAUGGACGGUGUAGCGGUGAAAUGCUUAGAUACCGUCCAGAACACCGAUAGCGAAGGCAGCUUACUAAGGAGUAACUGACGCUGAGGCACGAAAGUGUGGGGAUCAAACAGG